UACGUAGGGGGCAAGCGUUGUCCGGAAUCAUUGGGCGUAAAGAGCGCGUAGGCGGUCCGGUAAGUCCGCUCUGAAAGUCCGGGGCUCAACCCCGGGAGGCGGGCGGAUACUGCCGGGCUAGAGUCCGGAAGAGGCGAGUGGAAUUCCUGGUGUAGCGGUGAAAUGCGUAGAUAUCAGGAGGAACACCUGUGGCGAAAGCGGCGCACUGGACCACAACUGACGCUGAGGCGCGAAAGCUAGGGGAGCAAACAGG
rnacentral:rRNA from 1 species